rnacentral:rRNA from 1 species
UACAGAGGGUGCGAGCGUUGUCCGGAAUCACUGGGCGUAAAGGGCGCGUAGGUGGCUUGAUAAGUAGGGGGUGAAAUCUCGCGGCUCAACUGCGAGGCUGCCUCCUAAACUGUCGGGCUUGAGCAGAGUAGAGGCAGGUGGAAUUCCCGGUGUAGCGGUGGAAUGCGCAGAUAUCAGGAGGAACACCGAUGGCGAAGGCAGGUCUCUGGGCCACUACUGACGCUGAGAAGCGAAAGCCAGGGGAGCAAACGGG